rnacentral:tRNA from 1 species
CAGGGAGACAAAACUGAUUGUGAUGCCUGAAUUAAAUAUUUUUAGGCCAUGAUCCUGUCACCUUAGGUCGAUCGGUACCUCAAUCUAAUUCUACAAAAUCUAAGAAAUUAGCUUUUAUAUUUUUAAAUUCAGUUCCUAAACUUUGUCUAGGUCACACCCAGCAAUGGUAUUCCUUAUUCCUGGGCCAUUAGCUCAGGUGGUUAGAGCGCACCCCUGAUAAGGGUGAGGUCCCUGGUUCAAGUCCAGGAUGGCCCAUUCGGUGUUGGGGGUAUAGCUCAGUUGGUAGAGCGCCUGCUUUGCAAGCAGGAUGUCAGCGGUUCGAGUCCGCUUACCUCCACUGAUCACCCUGCUGACAGCGAAUUUCCAAGUAUCUUAAUUGCUUAGUGAUCUAGAUUUGUUCUCUAUAAAUGAACGAACCUAGCUUCUUGUCAUUCCAAUUUGUCUUUUGGUUUAAAGAUGUGGCUGAUAAGACGCUGGGCUCACUGCAAAAUAAUUUGCAGAGUAGUUCAGUAGAACCUUGACAACUGCAUAGGUGAGUCUGGAAAGAAUAAAGCAUCUCAUGGAUGCAUUUUCUUUAGAUGUUUUUAAAUUUCCUGUAGGAAAUUUAAUUACCAUGUCUAAGGAAAAUGUUUAAUUCUUGAGCAAGAGCCGAGAGUUCUAUGACGUUCUUUCAUUGCUAUUUGCAUUGAAAGUUAGAUUUUUGAUUUUCUUUAGGAUAAGAAUUAGAUUUUAUUAAAGCCUUAACUUGACCUAAAAACUAAGAAUCAAAAAGAAAGUGCUAACAACACAUGACGUUCAUAGAAAUUAAAU